AACGGCCGCGGUAUCUUGACCGUGCAAAGGUAGCAUAAUCAUUAGUCUUUUAAUAGGAGGCUGGCAUGAAUGGUUUAACGAGGUGCUAACUGUCUCUUUUAAUAUUUUGUUAAAAUUUAAUUUUUUAGUUAAAAAGCUAAGAUGGUUUUGGAAGACGAGAAGACCCUAUAGAGCUUUAUAAUAUAAACUAUAAUUAUAUAUUUGGUUUAAAAUUCUUAUUAUUUUUUGUAUUAUUUUGUUGGGGUGACAAAAAUAUAUAAUUAACUUUUUUAUUUAUCUUACAUUAAUUUAUGUUUAAUUAGAUCCACUUUUAGUGAUUGUUAGAUUAAGUUACCUUAGGGAUAACAGCGUAAUCUUCUUUCAGAGUUCAAAUUUACAAGAAGGCUUGCGACCUCGAUGUUGGAUUAAGAGUAUAUUUAGGUGUAGCCGCUUAAUUUAUAGGUCUGUUCGAC
rnacentral:rRNA from 1 species